GACGAACGCUGGCGGCGUGCUUAACACAUGCAAGUCGAACGGAAAGGCCCUGCUUGCAGGGUACUCGAGUGGCGAACGGGUGAGUAACACGUGGGUGAUCUGCCCCGCACUCCGGGAUAAGCCUGGGAAACUGGGUCUAAUACCGGGUAGGAGCCAGUUUUAGCGUGAUGGUUGGAAAGUUUUUGCGGUGUAGGAUGAGCUGGCGGCCGAUUAGCUUGUUGGUGGGGUAAGGGCCUACCAAGGCGGCGAAGGGUAGCCGGCCGGGGAGGGUGGACGGCCACAUUGGGACGGAGAGACGGCCCAGACUCCUACCGGAGGCAGGAGUGAGGAAUAUUGCACAAUGGGCGGGAGCCUGCUGCAGGGACGCCGCGUGGGGGAUGACGGCCUUCGGGUUGUAAGCGCCUUUCGCUAGGGGCGAAACAUUUUGUGACGGUACCUAGAUAAGAAGCACCGGCUAACUCCGUG
rnacentral:rRNA from 1 species